AACAAAUGGUCGCACUAAUUUUAUUUAUAUCCUAUGAAAGUAUUGCUGAAAAGAAAAAUACAUAACUUUUGACACAAAUCAUCCUAUAAAGCUAACCAUUUAUUCUAAUAAACAGACUUGUAAUUAGUGUUGAGACAAGUAAAGAAAUUUAGCAUAUUUGAAACGCAUAAAACAAAAGACAGAAACAUAUAUUCCACCCA
rnacentral:lncRNA from 1 species